AGACCCGAAACCCGGUGAUCUAGCCAUGGGCAGGUUGAAGGUUGGGUAACACUAACUGGAGGACCGAACCGACUAAUGUUGAAAAAUUAGCGGAUGACCUGUGGCUGGGGGUGAAAGGCCAAUCAAACCGGGAGAUAGCUGGUUCUCCCCGAAAGCUAUUUAGGUAGCGCCUCGUGAAUUCAUCUCCGGGGGUAGAGCACUGUUUCGGCUAGGGGGCCAUCCCGGCUUACCAACCCGAUGCAAACUGCGAAUACCGGAGAAUGUUAUCACGGGAGACACACGGCGGGUGCUAACGUCCGUCGUGAAGAGGGAAACAACCCAGACCGCCAGCUAAGGUCCCAAAGUCAUGGUUAAGUGGGAAACGAUGUGGGAAGGCCCAGACAGCCAGGAUGUUGGCUUAGAAGCAGCCAUCAUUUAAAGAAAGCGUAAUAGCUCACUGGUCGAGUCGGCCUGCGCGGAAGAUGUAACGGGGCUAAACCAUGCACCGAAGCUGCGGCAGCGACGCUUAUGCGUUGUUGGGUAGGGGAGCGUUCUGUAAGCCUGUGAAGGUGUGUCGUGAGGCAUGCUGGAGGUAUCAGAAGUGCGAAUGCUGACAUAAGUAACGAUAAAGCGGGUGAAAAGCCCGCUCGCCGGAAGACCAAGGGUUCCUGUCCAACGUUA
rnacentral:rRNA from 1 species